AACGAACGCUGGCGGCGCGCCUAAUACAUGCAAGUCGAGCGAGAAGACGUAGCAAUACGUUUGUAAAGCGGCGAACGGGUGAGGAAUACAUGGGUAACCUACCCUCGAGUGGGGAAUAACUAGCCGAAAGGUUAGCUAAUACCGCGUACGCUCCUUGGACUUCGGUUCAGGGAGGAAAGCGAUACCGUGGGUAUCGCGCUCUUGGAUGGGCUCAUGUCCUAUCAGCUUGUUGGUGAGGAACGGCUCACCAAGGCUUCGACGGGUAGCUGGUCUGAGAGGACGAUCAGCCACACUGGCACUGCGACACGGGCCAGACUCCUACGGGAGGCAGCAGUAAGGAAUAUUGCGCAAUGGGCGAAAGCCUGACGCAGCGACGCCGCGUGGGGGAUGAA
rnacentral:rRNA from 1 species